rnacentral:rRNA from 1 species
UACGGAGGGUGCGAGCGUUGUCCGGAAUCAUUGGGCGUAAAGGGCGCGUAGGUGGCGGGACAAGCGUGCGGUGAAAGCUCGGGGCUCAACCCCGAGUCGGCCGUGCGAACUGUUUUGCUUGAGCACUGUAGAGGCAGGCGGAAUUCCGGGUGUAGCGGUGGAAUGCGUAGAGAUCCGGAAGAACACCGGUGGCGAAGGCGGCCCGCUGGGCAACUGCUGACACUGAGGCGCGACAGCGUGGGGAGCAAACAGG